UUCAAAAAACAUACAAACCUUAUACAUACAUUUAUCCACAUGUCCAUAAAAAUGAUGCUACCAGUACGCUCGUGGCUCUAAAGAUUACAACAAUGAUGUACAACAAGAUAAAACAUCCUUGAAACAAGAUGUCGUGGUGCUCCAGCAACAUAUUGCUUCCACAACUCAUCCAGAGCUCGCAUUGACAAGAUGGCUACUGGAUGCUCAAUCUCUAUUUGGUUGACUCAAAACAACAACAAAAAAAGGGCACCAAAGCCAGCACUAGAGGUUUGUACCAAAAGACUCCCUCACUAACUGACACUACAGGUUUGAAAAACUGGUGCAAAAAAGUUGGCAACCAAGCUUUGUCUUCGUCAGUAUGGUGACGAGGGCAAAAAGUUGCUGUUGCGACCGGUCGCUCCAUAAGAACCUCAAUUGCUGCAGUAGAAGCAUGGCACAGAGCGGGCCCAUAUGAUGGUUGAUGGAUUUGAGCUCAAAUGUCACACCUUUCUAAUAGCUCAUCGCUCCUUGCAGGAUACCCACUAUUCCUUGCAUUUGUCAAUUGACCGGUCGCACCACUACCUUCAAAAGCUCCCAUUGCUGUGGAAAGCAGCCAAUGCAUCCACGGAGGAGGUCGAGGAACUCAAAUACAGAAUUGGUCCUUCCGCGAGGAGAAGUCGGUCGGUGAGAUCAGAUGAACCAGCCGACCAGAGACAUGUGUUCAUCAGCUCACUGAGCUAAUUGUCAAUGUCCUACAGCACAAAGUAGAAGAUUUUCACCAGAUUAUGGGGAAUCGCUAGCUGGGCAUGAUGGAUGCACUCUAAAACUAUUUGUAUAAGGUUUUUGUUUGUUAUUUCAGAACAAACUGAUGCUGGGUGCUUAUUCAUACAUUUUAGAAAGUACAAACUUGACAUCUUUUACCAAGCAACCUUGUACUCCCUCCGUUCCUAAAUAUUUAGGAACAGAGGGGAUACAAGCUGAAAAAGAACCUAUUUGGCAUGUUAGAUGAUGAUAACCUCAGGAAAUGGAGUCCUCACCGAUCUAAAGAUCAUGCAAUGGAUGCACGGCCACCGCCUUCCUCGACAGCGACG
rnacentral:lncRNA from 1 species